GUUUCAGAUUCUGUGUCUCCCUCUCUCUGCCCCUUCCCCGCUCAUGCGCUCUCUCUGCCUCUCAAAAAUGAAUAAACGUUAAAAAAUUAUUUUAAAAAAAGAUAAAAACACAAAAGGCCAUAUAGAGUUGGACAAUGUACUUUCAUUCAUAUACCCCUUCAAGGGACGGGUAUCCAGAAUAUAUGAAGUACAUCUGUAUAUCAAAAGAAAAACCCUCAAUAGAAAACAGGGCAAGACUUAAACUAAAUUAGAGGGGAAAAUUUCCAUUAAACAUGGAAAGUUGCUUAAUCCCAUUUUGAAAAACUACAUCGGUUUGGAGUUCGUGUGGAACUUUAGCUCUGCUCUGCUCUAUUUUGACUGUAGCAGCAGCUGAUCAGGGGCCGGAACCUUUUAUACUUUGUAAAUAUGUGGCCUGAAAGGGGAAGUUGUGGUAAAAUACAUUGGAGCCACCAGAUGGCGCCACACUAAAGCGUGUUUCUCGCAGUCUUUGUCUUCAGAAACGUAAGAGCGAGGUGAUUUCUUAGCCGUCUUUCCCGGUAUGCCUGCAGUCCACAGUGAAAUAUUUUGAGCUCUCCUUCACAGGAGUGAUGAAACUGAAACAUUUCCAACUAGAAAAGAGAAUUUUAGACAUUCUCUUUGGAUAAACUCUGGACAGUGUGGAUGCAGUGAUUUCCUAACAUAUCAUUUGUACAUUUGUACAUAGGAUUUGGUGUUUUCCAGGGCACCUAAGGGAAAUCUUCCAGAUUUCCACCUAUGACCCAACUCUGAUGACCCAAUUCUGAGCAGGAAGGAAAAUCAGGUAACACAUAAGAACAACUCAGAUUGCUAGCAGUCUACACUGAACCACUGCCUAUUCCAUAGACUCCUGGCAGCUGUCUGUUCAGACCACUUGGUAUUUUUCGCAUUUUUAAUGUUGGCCAUUUUGGUAGAUAUGUAACGGUAUUUUAUUAUGGUUUUAGUUUUUGUUUCCCUCGUUAUAGGGAAUUGAGCUCCUUUUCAUAAUUUGUAGGCCAUUUGAUUUUCACUUUUAUGAAGUACAUUUUUUAGUCUAUUUCAUUUUUAUCUACUUGUAGAUGUUUUUAUGUAUUUUGGAUAUGACUCCUUUAUCAGUUACAUCCAUGACUAAUAACUUUUCCCACUCUAUGGCAUGCUCUGUCAUAAUGAAAAAGAAAAGUUCUUAAUUUUAAACUGGAGAAACUGCAUUACUCUUUUCCUUUAUGGUUAAUGCUUUUUCUGGUGUGAUCUAAGAAGUCUUUAUCUGCUCCAAAUUCAUUAACAUAUUUGUGCCAAUAUUUUUCAAAUACUUCAGUGUCUUACCUUUUAAAUUUGGAUCUACAGUUUAUCUGGAAUAGAAUUUGUGCCCAAUGUAAGGUAGAGGUCAGGUUCCAUUCUCUCCCCUAUGGAUUGUUCCUAUACUGUUUGUUGAAAAGAUAAAUCCUUUGUUGCAUUGAUUACAGUGCUAUGAGCCAGCUGUCUGUAUAUGUUUGAGUUAUUCAGGGGUCUGUAUUCUGUUUUAUCAGCGUAUUUAUUCUUCCCUAAUACCACAUUGUCUUCAUUGCUCUAGCAGUAAACUAUAUAUUGAUACCUGGUAGUGAAAGUUUGCUGACCCUGGUGUUUGUCCAGAAUAUUAGCUGUUCUUUAUCAUUUGCAUUUCCAAAUAAAUCUAAUGGCCAGCUUAUCAACUUACACACACACACACACAAUUGCAAUUUUGAGGAGGGUUUUUUUUUGAAAUAAUAUAACAAUUUGAAGGAAAUUAACAUAUUCAUAAAAUUUAGUCUUCUGAUCUGUGAAGCCAGUAUAUUUCUGCAUUUAUUUAGAUUUUCUCUUGACUCUCACUGUUUUAUUGUUUUGGUUUAAGGUCUUUAAUAUUUUUCAUAUAGGAUGUAUUUUUUAAGUGAUGUGAUUUAGGGCUCCCCACCCCCCCUGCUUUACUGAGGUAUGCUUGACAGAUAAAAAUUGUAUAUAUUUGAGGUAUAUGUCUUAGUUAGUUUGGGCUAAUGUAACAAAACAGUUCUGAAAGCUGGGAAGUCCAAGAUCAAGGUGCCAGCAGGCUCACUGUUCUUUGAAGGCCGCUCUCCUGGUUCAUGGAUGGUGCCUUCUUGCUUUGUCUUCACAGAGAAGGGGCUUCUAUUAUAAGGGUACUAAUCCCAUUCAUGAGGGUUUCACCCACUUGACCUAAUCACCUGCUACAGGCCUCACUUCCUAAUACCCUCACCUUUAGCGAUUAGGAUUUCAGCAUGUGAAUGGGGGUGGGGGCAUAAGCAUUCAGUGGAUGGCAGCAUACAACUGUACAACAUGAUGGUCUAAUGUAUGUGUAUGUUGUGAAAUGGUUACCACAGUUAAGCUAAUUACCGUAUUCAUUACUUCACAUACUCAUAAUCUGUGUGUGUUGAGAACACUUAAAAUCACCUCCCAUAGCAAAUUUCAUCUUUGCAGUACAGUAUUGACUCUAGUCCCUGUGCCAUAUGGUAGCACUCCAGAAUUUACUCAUCCUGCAUAAAUGAAUCUUCGUACCUUUUGACCAACAUCUUCCCGUUCCCACACCCCUCAACUCCUGGCACCCCCCAUAUUCCACACGUAAGUGAGAUCAUGCAUUCUUUGUUUUUCUGUGCCUGGCUUAUUUCACUUAGUAUAAUGUCCUCCAGGUUCAUCCAUGUUUCCCACAAAAGGCUAGAUGUUUUUUUUUUUUUCUUUUUAAAGGCUGAAUAAUAUUCCUUUGCACAUACCACAUUUUGCUUCCCCAUUCAUCAACAGAUUGUUUCCAAAUCUUGGCAGUUGUGAAUAACACUGCAGGGAACAUGGAGUUCCUGCUGUCUAUUCAGCCAACAGUAGGAAGAAGGUGGAACCCUCAGUUCUCCAGGGAAUGAAUUCUCCCCAAAUCUGGACCAGCUAGGAAGUGGCUUUUUCCCUAGGUCAGCCUCCAGAUUUGAGCACAGCACAGCUAGCAGCUUGAUUACAGCUGUGGGAGACCCUGAGCAGAUGACCCAGCCAACCUCGGCCCAAACUCCUGACCCACUGAAAUUGUGCUAUUUUGAGCUGCUGAGUUCGUGAUAAUUUACAGCAACAGAUAACUAAUAUUAUUAUUCGCUGUAUAUUCUCUCUGCCUUAGUUAGUUCUCUUAUCCACAAACAGGUUACCAGCAAUAACCUGUCUCGUAUUUAUUGUUGCUCUGCAGAUGAAGUGAGUUCACACAUGUAUAAUCCUUUGUCAGUGCCUGGCCACCUCGCACGUGCCUGUGCUGCCACUCUGUCUGCCUGCCUGCCUCUUAACCCUCAUCACACUUGGGUAGUUUUCUACCUUAAUUCUUCCAUUUCAUCUCCUUUUCUAGAAUUUCAUUUCUUGACCCAACUUGGCUGGCCAACACUCCUUUAUGUAGUGGUCACUUAUCUGACAAAAGCACCUCUUGGAAAUAUAAUCAAGAUGCUCCCCAAACUAAAAUUGGUUCCAAAUAGAAAAUGCACUAAGACUAUACUCUUAACGUGUUGAUGAGACUCAGCACUUCACUGUUUCUAAGUUAAAACACACUGGGAGUCAGAAAUUUAAUAAGUGAGUGGAGAACUAGAAAGAACCAUACUCCUAGCACUAAGAAUGUGAUGAAGGCACCCUGAGAUGGAAGGAACCUAAAAACUCGGACAAGGCACAGAGGAGCUCUAAGGUAGAGGCAGGCUGUACCCAGGGGUUCUCUGAAGGUAUCACUGAACAAAUAUAACGUCAUGUUGGGUAAGACACUCCUCUUAAUACUUUCACACUUUUAAAGACAUAUAUUAGAAAUAUCUAAUAGUUUAAAAGAUUUUUUAAAAUUUAUUAAACAUUCCUUGUUCAACAAUAAAAAUAAUUUUAAAAUGUGUAAAGGACCUAAAAGAAACUUCUCUAAAAAAGAUAAACAAAUGGUCAAUAAGCACAUGAAAAGAUGCUCAACAUCACUUAAUUAUGAGGGAAAUGGAAAUCAUAAUCACAUUAAGAUGGGUACUAUAAAAAAUAAAAUCCCAAGUGUUGGUGGAGAGGUAGAAAAAUUAGAACCCUAUGCCCUGGAGGUUCCUCCGAAAAAUUAAUAGUACCAUAUGAUCCAGCAAUCCUAUUUCUGGGAAUAUAUCCCAAGGAAUUGAGAACAGAGUCUCAGAGAGGUAUUUGCACACCCAUGCAUGAUUCACUAUAGCCAAAAGGUGGAAGAAACACAAGUGUUCAUCGAUGGAUGCAUCAAAAAAUAAUUUGUGGUAUGAACAUAAAAUGGAAUAUUAUUCAGCUUUUAAAAGAAAGGAAAUGCAGACAGCUGCUAUAACAUGAAUGAACUUUAAGAAAAGACAUUAUGCUAAGGGAAUUAAGCCAGCAAACAAAAAGAUAAACAGUGAAUGAUUUUGAUUGUGUGGGGUACCUAAUAGAGUCAAAUUCACAGGCACAGAAAGUAGAAUAGCAAUUGCCAGGGGCUAGGCAGGAGGGAAAAAUUGAGUUAUGGUUCAAUGGGUAUAGAAUUCCCAUUUGGCAAGAUGAAAAAUUUCUGGAGAUGGAUUGUAUGACGUUGCAAAUGUAUAUAACAUUCCUGAAAUGUACACUUCAAAAUGGUUAGGUUUGUGUAUUUUACCACAAUUUUUUUUAAUUGCCAAAAAAAAAAAAAAUCCAACCCAAGAAAAAUGAACAAAUGAAGUAUUUGUGGUAGGCUGAGGGAAUCGGUAGGCAGUGAUGAGUUUCAAGUCCUUUGAGACCAGAAGCAUGUUUAGGGCAACUGCACACACCUAAAAAACCCAAACUCCAAAUGAUCACUCCCCUGCAUCUCAUCCAUAAAAUCUCCUAGGGCACCAAAUAUCAAGUAGCUAGUCAGCACUGAUAUUGCACCAAGGGCAAAAAUUCACAGGGAAACUUGAACUUGGGUUUUAAGUCAAGCACUUCAUUUUGCUAAAACCCUCUAGGGCUUUGUCAUACUAAGGAGCAAAGAAAGAAGCUUUAAAAGUAGCAAUUUUUUUGUCAUUGCCAAGGUCAGACUUUAAAUCUUAAUUGAACUCAUGACUUCCUUUGAGAGGCAAAAUAAUAGACGAGAUAGCCAAAGAGCUCUUUCUGUUCCAGGAGGCACGUGGAAGGGACAGGUAUUGGGUUGUAGUCUAGAGAUCUGCCAGCAACCAAGAUGCUCAGGAUGGAGAGAGUUCCGGAAUCCUUUGUGGCCUGCUUAGAGCAGCACAUCAGGCCUCCGUUCUGGCUUCUGAUGGCCCCAAAGCCAGCAAAUCCACUGCAGCCUGGAUCUUGGGGUGGGUUCUACUGCUAAGUCAUUGGCGUUCUGGGUUUCUUUUCACUAUUUUUUAUCUUCCAAUUAAAAAAAUGUUCUGCACUAGUUACUCCUGAGCCUUGUCCUGUCUCCACCUUCUGGUUUAAAGACUACUGGGGCCUGGAAUGUUACUGCAUCGGGGCUCCUGAUGAGCAUGGGUUUGAGGCUUCAGAGUCAGGUGCCCCCCCACCUCCACUCAGGUGACAGGGAAGGAGAGUUAGAAGUGUAGCAGAGGGGCUACUGUCUUUGCUGUGAAAGCCUGUUCUCUUAGAGAUCAUGACUGGCAGGCAGCCGACCUAUGUGGACUUAACCCCAGUUCUGCCUUCUCCUUCCUUGCUUCCCUGCCUUCCCUCAUUUUAGAACAUGUCCCCAAAUCCCUUUUUUAAGGCAACCAUUCCGUCUCCAAGGCAUGGUGUUCUGGUGGGAUUUCAAGUGACAGUAACCUCCCCCUCCCCCCCCCCCCGUGUGCACACACACACACACGUAUUGUGUGCAUGACUGCAGGUGGGCCUGUGUGAGGCCUUCCUACAUUCCUUAGCAUAUAGGUGGAGGUCAAUUCCUGUGAGCUCCCAUGACACUCUUUCUCAACUACAAGACUACUACACCCAAUAAUUAGCUGUUUAACCUUGAGCAAGUUACGUACCCUCUCCAACCAUCGGUUCCAUCAUCGGUGCAAUGGGGGGUAAAAGUUCCCUAAUAGGAUGGUUGUGAGAAUGAGCACAGCCCACGCAUGCCUAGCGCAAGGCUGGCCUUUACUAAGCACGUCUUCAUCCCCUCCAUGCGGUGGCCCAAUCCUCAAAUAGCCCCACAGCCUAGCACGUCCACUGAGCUUUGCUUUCCCUCCCCUGUUAGGCCAGGUCUGUAAAGCGCUUUUGGCAAUCUGGAACUAAUAAAAGUCUAAUGAAUAAACCAAUCAUUGAACCUGUACUGGAAAUUUAUCUUCUGCAUUUAUUUCUUAAGGUUGGAAAGAAAGCAGCACUCUUAAUUAAUUUUGUACUAUCUCUUUCAGUAGGAGCGUAUGCUGGUGAUUUUCUUUUAUCAGUCCCGAAAUCCUUGUUUUUAGGAAAUAGAGGGUCUGAGGAACUUGCUCAUGAACAGCCUUGAACUAGAUUGAAACACCUGCUGAUUCUCUGGUUUUCUGUUCAGAUUUGAGAGCUGCAAGUGGCUGGCGACAAAGGAGAGAGAAACCUCCAGUGACUUCACAAGCUACUGGGCAGAGAAAGGAGGGUGCCAAUGUCAUGGAAGGCAAAGAACAGCCUGUUUUCUGAAAUCCAGGUCAAGAAGAUCAUUGAGAGGACCAACAUUACUUGGCAAGAUGCACCCAAACCUACCUGACCUAUGCACAAGUGCAGUGGAGAGUUUCUAACUGGAUGUACUGGUCAGUGUAUACGCAUUCUUUGUCCUCAGUCAGGGUUUCUCAAUGGUGGCACUCUGACAUCUGGGGGCUGGAUAGAUGUUCGGUAGCGCCCCUCCCUGAAGAUGUGACAAUGUCUCCAGACACUGCCAAGUUUUUCCUGGGGAGCAAACUUGCUGUCGUGUUGGAAAUAUUCCAGAACUGCUUAAUGUGGCAGCUCACCGCUUCCUUACUGUGUGGCUACAAAUUUAAAUUCUCUUUUAAAAAGCGAUGGGUUGUAUUUUCAGUUGUGAUUACUGUCCUAAAAAGGGGCUCUAAGAGAAAUGAAAAACCAAACCAGGAUGGAAAGAAAACAUUUAUUGAAUCAAAAUCAAUACUUUCUUUUUAAUAUCUACAAGCCAACACUGAAUGAACACAAUGUACAAAAAAAGUAUGCUUAUAUUAUAAAAAUAUGUCAAUUUUAUCUUCUGGGAGCUGAGCAGAAGUCAUUUUAAACAAAAUCAAGGCAAACUUGCUCUCUAUAAUGAAACUGCUAUAAUUUAAUAACAAAAGUAAAAGCUAAUAUAUAAAGUAUCUCCAAAGGCCCACUUGAAAGGCGAUAAUGCUGCACUGGAAAUGCCAAACCCCAUCACCACAGUUAACGUUCCCGGUCUGUGCUUACUGGCACCACUUCAUGCCUCCACCAGGGGAAAGCAGCUCUUGUAUAGAACGCAGAUCACUCUUAGAAUCCAUGGCAUCAGUUAACCCUUGUUUCAGCAAACCACUAACAGUCAAUCCUGUUUAUUUAGACUCAAUUUUAAAAUGAGACAUGUUGCCCAAAAUUUACAAUUCCACUUAGGAUGUGGGGAAGCUGCACCCUUCACACUCUUAUCUUUAACCCUCCCUAGAAAAUCUGUGUCCAAGGUUAGUAUGUUAAAACUGUACUUGUCUCCUUGAAUUUAUUGGCACCUUCCUUGGCAUAUGUUCUUGCACACAGUGUGGCUACUGCAGGUCAGUUACACGCCGAGGAGCACAGUAAUGCUCCUGGAGUAUUUGGUCCACACAGAAGAUGUUAAUUAGAAAAAGAGUAACAUCAAAUCAUGAAUUCAGCAAAAAGGAGCCUGGCUCCCUGUACUGUGAUUCCAGGAGUUAUAAGACAAGUAUAAAAGUUAUACGAAUUUUAAAAGUCAAAAUAGACUAAAGAGCAUCAGUACUGACAAGGCCAAGGUCAGCAAAUUCCAGAAUGCAGUAUCCACAGAGUAAAUUAAACUAACUGCCUAUUUUUACUACUAAGCAUAGAUGUUUUUCUUCACAGAUUCUCUCUCCGUGUGGGGUUGACACCUAAAAAGACUCAAAAGUGCAGAAACACAAGCACCGAGUUACCUAGCACCCCCACUGCACUGGGUAACUUAAAUUCAAAAGCACUGGUGGAGAAAUGCUUGCCUGUUUUGCCUAUAUAAACCCAUUGUUUAUCCAGUUACCUAAUUUCUUGGCUCUCUACAUUUUCAAUUAAGCCCCACCUGCUGCAUAAAAUGCUAACCCUACAAAGUGUAGUCAGAACUGAAUUAGACAUUGGAUUUAAACAUUUUAAUAAGACUACAAAACCACUAACUGUCUUAACACUACACCCUCAUAGGGAAGGAAAAGUACUUACAGAAUUAUCUGAAAUAUACAUAAUUUGUGAAGAACAAACAUUUUGGAGCCUGAGCAAAGGUUUCUCACCAAUGUCCUAAAGAAUCACCAGCCAGACUGUUUUCACGAGCAACGAUUCAGUCAAGUCACUAAAUUGCUCUUGGUAACUUCCACUACCCUGAAA